rnacentral:rRNA from 1 species
AAGUCGAGCGGACAGAUGGGAGCUUGCUCCCUGAUGUUAGCGGCGGACGGGUGAGUAACACGUGGGUAACCUGCCUGUAAGACUGGGAUAACUCCGGGAAACCGGGGCUAAUACCGGAUGGUUGUCUGAACCGCAUGGUUCAGACAUAAAAGGUGGCUUCGGCUACCACUUACAGAUGGACCCGCGGCGCAUUAGCUAGUUGGUGAGGUAACGGCUCACCAAGGCGACGAUGCGUAGCCGACCUGAGAGGGUGAUCGGCCACACUGGGACUGAGACACGGCCCAGACUCCUACGGGAGGCAGCAGUAGGGAAUCUUCCGCAAUGGACGAAAGUCUGACGGAGCAACGCCGCGUGAGUGAUGAAGGUUUUCGGAUCGUAAAGCUCUGUUGUUAGGGAAGAACAAGUGCCGUUCAAAUAGGGCGGCACCUUGACGGUACCUAACCAGAAAGCCACGGCUAACUACGUGCCAGCAGCCGCGGUAAUACGU